rnacentral:rRNA from 1 species
ACGGGUGCGUAACGCGUGGGAAUCUGCCCUUUGGUUCGGAAUAACAGCUGGAAACGGCUGCUAAUACCGGAUGAUGACGAAAGUCCAAAGAUUUAUCGCCAGAGGAUGAGCCCGCGUUGGAUUAGGUAGUUGGUGGGGUAAAGGCCUACCAAGCCGACGAUCCAUAGCUGGUCUGAGAGGAUGAUCAGCCACACUGGGACUGAGACACGGCCCAGACUCCUACGGGAGGCAGCAGUGGGGAAUAUUGGACAAUGGGCGAAAGCCUGAUCCAGCAAUGCCGCGUGAGUGAUGAAGGCCCUAGGGUUGUAAAGCUCUUUUACCCGGGAAGAUAAUGACUGUACCGGGAGAAUAAGCCCCGGCUAACUCCGUGCCAGCAGCCGCGGUAAUACGGAGGGGGCUAGCGUUGUUCGGAAUUACUGGGCGUAAGGCGCACGUAGGCGGCUUUGUAAGUCAGAGGUGAAAGCCUGGAGCUCAACUCCAGAACUGCCUUUGAGACUGCAUCGCUUGAAUCCAGGAGAGGUCAGUGGAAUUCCGAGUGUAGAGGUGAAAUUCGUAGA